GACCUGCGGAGGGAUCAUUACCGAGUUUAC
rnacentral:rRNA from 1 species